UCGAAUUCAAAAAAUAUAUACAGCUGUCAGUUUAAUAUCCCACUGCAUAGCACUGCAGCGAUCACGUACCGACUUGGCUGUUUAUUUUUGGUCAGGACUGCGGAAACCAUGAUUUCUGCCAUAAUUGGUGGUACGUUGCGACAGUGUUCUUCUCCAUUUUCUUCGGAAUCGGCUUGUGGGCUCCAUUCCUUAUAGUGUGGUAUUCUAUGGCUAAACGGUGUUUGUAAUUAAUUGAAGAGAAAUAAAUUGAAAAAAUA